GCUGGGUGCAGUGGCUCACACCUGUAAUCUCAGCUACUCAGGAGGCUGAGGUGGGAGGAUGGCUUGAGCCCAGGAGUUUGGGCUGUGGUGUGUUAUGACUGCACCUGUGAAUUGCCACUGCACUCCAGCCUGGGCAAUAUAAUGAGACCCCAUCUCUA
rnacentral:SRP_RNA from 1 species